UGUCCCACUGUAGUAAGGAGCUAUGGAUGCGGGCAAGCCUGCUACUUUAAAACCGAGCUGUUUACUUUUAUUCCUACUUGUGCACAACCUUCUCUUGCCAAUCAUCUGCUGGAGCACUCAGAAUAAUUAAAAACAACAGGCAAUAUUUAUUUCUAGCUUUGCGUGUCAUGCUCUGUGGGAGCACCCUUAAUUUGCACGUUAUUAUUUAUCCAAACUUCUGGGAAGCUUUACUACAGACUGGACAGCACUGGCUACGGAUUAGGCUAGGUUUCAUACCCAUCCUUGAUUGGCUGAAGCCCGUGAGGGAAGCCGUGGCUUUUGCCUUUGCCGUAGCCCCGCAGGGUAUAUUUAGUAGGUAGCCGACCCUCGGCACGACGCGCCGUGCGUGUGGCCGGGCGGGCAGUCGCUGGGGUGGGAGGAUGCUGCGCGGGACCCCCGGCCGCCCGCUGCGGGAGGGGGAGGCUCUCGGCAUCCUGAAAUCCCGGCAUGCCGGGGCAUCGAGUCGCUGUGCAGCGGUGUCAGGGGACGAGCAUGGCUGUUCUCUGCCUCUCAGGGAGAAAGGAAGAGUUUUGCUGUUGUGAGCCAAGAGAUAAAGCAGCAGAGGAGUGUAAGUACAGUCCUCUGGAGUGGAUAGUGAGAACCCCGCUGAGGAGGAAAGCCCCAUCUCUCUGCUGAGACUCAGUGUUCAGCAUGCAGCAACUCCACUCCUUGCCCUUCCCCACACCCUGGUAUCUUGGGAUAGGGGGACUGCACUGCUUGUGCCCAGACAGGAUCCAGUUGUGUCCCUUGUCCCUGUGGGAGCGCCGCCUGUCUUCCUCCUCUCCAUUUGCUGCCUGGGAAAUUCCCUUUGCUAUACGGGAGAUUCUCUGAUGGAUUACAAUCUCAGCAAACUCUAACUCCAGAGGAAGAAUGACAACUAAGAGACUUAAACCAGACUUUUUACUUUCCUGGAGAGGAACUGGCUCACAGUAUUCAGCGUUUUUUUAAUCCUCUACCUCCCUCUGCUGUUAUCACAGCAAAGUUCCUCAACAAUGGGAAGUCAUGUACUUGCAGCUUCAAUUUCCAUGCUCUCGCUCCUGGCAAUGAUGGGAGACACGGACAGCAAACCAGACAGUUCCUUUAUGAUUGACACCGAUCCCAGCCGCUGCAUGAGGCAUCAUUAUGUGGACUCCAUCAGCCAUCCCCUGUACAAGUGCAGCUCAAAGAUGGUGCUGCUGGCUCGCUGUGAAGGACGUUGCAGCCAGAUAUCGCGCUCGGAGCCAAUGGUGUCCUUCAGCACUGUCCUAAAGCAGCCUUUCCGCUCCACUUGCCACUGCUGCCGGCCCCAGACCUCCAAGCUGAAGGCCAUGCGGCUGCGCUGCUCAGGUGGCAUGAGGCUCACCGCCACAUACCGCUACAUCCUCUCCUGCCACUGCGAGGAGUGCAACUCCUAGGGACGCGCCUGCUGCAGUGCUACAGGACCGGGAUGCUGCUGCUGGGGAGGGCUCCCAAGAAGUGACUGGAGAUGAGGCCGACAGUCCCAGGACACAACUAACUGGGGUGGAUGGAGCUGAGAGAUAAUGAGGAAUAUCUCCUGGGGCCUGAAUGGUUCUGAUACCAAUCUGUGGCAAUGGCAAAAGCACGUGGACUUGUUUUUAAGCAACCUUUCUUUUUUGCUGAAAGGAUAUUUUUGCCAGUUUCUCCUUUUUCAGGCCCAGCUCAUGAUUUACUUUGGGCCCCGAGCAGUAACAGCUCAACAUAGAAGGCUGGAGGGGCAGCAGCACUGUGCACUGGAAGCCAGCUUCCAGACAGAUCAUGGGCAUUGGUUCUCACAUACAACAUCUUCACUUGUCUGUAUUCUCAGACUCCAGGCUACAUCAGCCUUCACGCAAACUGUGUCGUUGGCAAGGGCUACCCACUGCUGAUUUAUCAGCCAAGUGCUGGAUAGCUUUAACUGUGGUUUAGCAGAAAUUACAAAUAAAUCACUGAAAAGUGAACCUAAUGCAAAAUGUACCUCUGGGAUUACCCAGCGCCAGCUGAAAAGAUUACUUGCAGUAUACAGCUUCACAGUUGAGUGGUUGAGGGACUCUCGAGAAGUGUAAGGUCAUGAGGCAUUAUUCCCCUCUAAAAGCAUGUAAAUGUGACACAUUACAUCUGUCACAAAAGCCAUUAUUCAAACACUAAAAACUAAACAAGAAAUAAAAUGAUGCAUACUAAAUGGAGUCUUUUCUUAAUCUGUUGACGUGUAGAGCCAGAGCUACUGAAAUAAUGACCAAAUCUAGGACUUAUUUUCAUCUACAGACCACCAAGUAUCAUUUAUUCCUUUUAAAGAUAGUUAGGAAAUAUGGAUGUGCCCAUAUAAGGUUUAAGGCAGAGUUGGAACCCCAGUAUUAUCCCCUGGACCACAGAGGUUGUUUCAAGUUUCAGUUUAUUUAAAGAUCUGCUACCUGGGGUCCUGGUGGACUCACCACCCAGAUGGCAACCACUGGACAAUGCACAGCUCAUGGCUGGGCCAUAUGUCCACCUACAUCUGGAUGAGCCAUUCUUUGGAUAAAAAUCAUGGAGAUGUCAGGAGCAUCCUUGCUGUGUAAGGAUUCAGUUGGAGCAGUUUCUACUCCUUGGCAGCACUGGCAUGCUCAGUUCCUUCUUGGAGUUGUUUCCUUGCACAGCAAUGUCUGUUGAAGGCCCUUUGGCAAGGAUGGGAAGUCUUGUCCAAGCUCAGGAUUUGCUCCAUCUGUCCAGCACCAUCCUGUCUGUCUGCAGGAAAUGAUGAAGAAAGAGAUUCCCAAGGGCUACCAGGGAGAGCAGCUGCCCUGUGUUCCGCUCAGAGGUUACUGGGGCUGGUAGGGCAAAACCAAAUUCUUCUUCCACUGUCUUCUUAUGGUGGGUAUGCAUUGCAUAUGAGGGAACAUGGGGAACAGAUACCAGCCUUGUGAGCCAGAUUCUGGAGGAGGAUGGUGGUCAAUCAGACGUGGGGUCAAGUACUCCCACAGACACAUGUUGCAGAGAGGUUUGUAGGCAUGGAAAGAACUCUGUUUUCUAGAGAUGGCUGGGAGAUAGGCAGUUUUCAACAUCAUAGAGCUGCAGGCAAACAAACAGGUAUAUCAUGAAGUUAGAAGCCAAGGGGCUCAGAUUAAAAUUUCAAAUACAUGCACGAUGAGCCCUGAUGAGCUCAUCAGACACCAAUGAUCAUUUCAAUGCUGUCAGUCAUUCUCACAUGUUAUACAUAGUUUGAACAUCAAUGGGUGAGAGGUGGGAGCAUGAGCCAAGCAUUAUUACCAGAUUACUGUAUGUAAAAACUGAUGUGCAUUCUUUUUCUACUCUUCCAAUUUCCAGCAUUCAAAAAAGCAACAAUCUCUACUGUUAAUUAUGUGUAGAAAAAUUCAGUAAUUAUCUGAAACUUCAGCGAUGCCUUUGCUCACCGAAUAACUGCACCAAAGUCUUGCAUGAUCUAAGCACACAAGGAGUGCUACACAACUAUCUAAGGAAUGAUA